UACGAAGGGGGCUAGCGUUGUUCGGAAUUACUGGGCGUAAAGCGCACGUGGGCGGAUUGUUAAGUCAGGGGUGAAAUCCCGGGGCUCAACCUCGGAACUGCCUUUGAUACUGGCAAUCUCGAGUCCGGAAGAGGUGAGUGGAAUUCCUAGUGUAGAGGUGAAAUUCGUAGAUAUUAGGAAGAACACCGGUGGCGAAGGCGGCCCACUGGCUCGAUACUGACGCUGAGGUGCGAAAGCGUGGGGAGCAAACAGG
rnacentral:rRNA from 1 species